rnacentral:rRNA from 1 species
UACGAAGGGGGCUAGCGUUGCUCGGAAUCACUGGGCGUAAAGGGUGCGUAGGCGGGUCUUUAAGUCAGGGGGGAAAUCCUGGAGCUCAACUCCAGAACUGCCUUUGAUACUGAGGAUCUUGAGUUCGGGAGAGGUGAGUGGAACUGCGAGUGUAGAGGUGAAAUUCGUAGAUAUUCGGAAGAACACCAGUGGCGAAGGCGACUCACUGGACACGUAUUGACGCUGAGGUGCGAAAGCGUGGGGAGCAAACAGG